UAAGGAAUAUUGGACAAUGGCCGCAAGGCUGAUCCAGCCAUCCAGCGUGCAGGAAGAAGGCCCUAUGGGUUGUAAACUGCUUUUGUCAGGGAAGAAACCUUGGGAUUUACUCCUGAGCUGACGGUACCUGAAGAAUAAGCACCGGCUAACUCCGUGCCAGCAGCCGCGGUAAUACGGAGGGUGCGAGCGUUAUCCGGAAUUACUGGGUUUAAAGGGUGCGUAGGCGGCCAAGUAAGUCAGGAGUGAAAGUUUGCGGCUCAACCGUAAAAUUGCUUUUGAUACUGCUAGGCUGGAAUUAGGAUGAGGUCAGCGGAAUGUGGCAUGUAGCGGUGAAAUGCAUAGAUAUGCCAUAGAACACCAAUUGCGAAGGCAGCUGGCUAGACCUGGAUUGACGCUGAGGCACGAAAGCGUGGGGAGCGAACAGG
rnacentral:rRNA from 1 species